GGCGGAUUAAGACGUUUUUUUUUAGGCGCCCACCCAUUUGAAUCGCUGGGGCAGGAAAAAACAUGGCCCCCUCUUAGGCACCAACAAUUUGAUAUUCGGGGGGGGGGGGGGGGGCUAUGGAUUUUUUCUUGACAAAAUUAUUUUUUUUCACUUUCGGCGAUAGACAAUCUAUUACUUUGGCGACAAGUCGAAACAUUUUUGUUUCUUUCAAUUCUAGCAUUACAUAUUUU
rnacentral:lncRNA from 1 species